rnacentral:misc_RNA from 1 species
CAUAAGGAAGCUGAGAAGAGAAGGAGAGAGAGAAUUAACUCUCAUCUAGAUAAGCUCAGGAGCCUCCUUCCUUGCAAUUCUAAGGUAAUUAUAGAUGAUUUGUGUUGAUAGAGUGGAAGGCUAUUUGAUGGUUUUUUGAAGCGUAUUAGGAGCUUUUGAAGUGGUUUUAAUGGUGGAGAUUGUGACUUUUCUUGUUUAAUGUUUUCACCAUGUAGUAAUUCUUGAAGUUUUUUAUCUAUGUGAUUUUUCUUUUUCCCUUUAUCAAUUAUUGUGUUUGUUCACUGUUUGGUAGCUAAGAAACUGCGAGAAAAAGAAAGUUAAACUUUGAUUUUUGGACUCUUACUUUUUGACCCAC